GCUCAAUUGCUGUAAUCAGGGAGGAGGAACAAUUAUAGCAAUUUCAGAGAAGCGCGAGGCAUGCGGGAAAAUUGGAGCCACAUGAGCAGAGGGUGUUUCCUACCCGCGAGGCUCCUGAGCAGAUGGUAUAAGAGCUCUUCCUCCUCCGCUCUCCUCCAGCCCAAUCUGCUGAACCUUGUGAAGAAUCAGAUUUGCCUCCCACCACAUAGCCAUGGUUUUCCCCGGGGAGCUUUGUGGCUACAACGUCUCCUGCAGCACAAGCCUCCCCUCAACAACGCUCCUAUUGCAACCACCAGCUGUUGUGGCUGAAACAAAGCUGACAGACUUAGAGAUCCUCAUCCCGGAGCCCCCGCCUUGUGAAAUCCCAGAAUGUGGCUUCGAUCCAUGCCACUUGCCUCCGUGGUACUGCCACCUGCCUCCUGAGCCGCCCAUCAUUUUUGCCACCUUCGCCACCUGCCUGCACGAAGCAUAAGCGUGGCUUGCCGGCGGCCAUCUUGCGAUAGGCCCGUUUCAGGCAGGAGGCUCUGCAGACAGGAAGUGGGGGCUGCAUUAGGAACGGGAGUCUGGAGCAAUGCUCCACACAUUGAGGCCACACUUGUUAUUGGCGCCUGUCCUUAAAGGUUCAGGAUCGGCGGCCAUCAUCCAUUUUGUAUAUCCAUGUAGUAGAAGUUUGAAAACAACAAUAAUAAUCACAGGUGCUGUGAAUUACAGUU